rnacentral:rRNA from 1 species
GAUGAACGCUGGCGGCGUGCCUAAUACAUGCAAGUCGAGCGAACAGACGAGGAGCUUGCUCCUUUGACGUUAGCGGCGGACGGGUGAGUAACACGUGGAUCACCUACCUAUAAGACUGGGAUAACUUCGGGAAACCGGAGCUAAUACCGGAUAACCUGUUGAACCGCAUGGUUCAACAGUGAAAGACGGUCUUGCUGUCACUUAUAGAUGGAUCCGCGCCGCAUUAGCUAGUUGGUAAGGUAACGGCUUACCAAGGCAACGAUGCGUAGCCGACCUGAGAGGGUGAUCGGCCACACUGGAACUGUGACACUGUCCAGACUCCUACGGGAGGCAGCAGUAGGGAAUCUUCCGCAAUGGGCGAAAGCCUGACGGAGCAACGCCGCGUGAGUGAAGAAGGUCUUCGGAUCGUAAAACUCUGUUAUUAGGGAAGAACAAAUGUGUAAGUAACUAUGCACGUCUUGACGGUACCUAAUCAGAAAGCCACGGCUAACUACGUG